rnacentral:tRNA from 1 species
GCAUGGUUGGCGUAGGCGCCGACGAAUUCGACCUUGGAGAGGUCGGCGAACUGGAUGUCGGUGACGUCCUUCAGUUCGCCGCCGAUGACCAGGUG